rnacentral:rRNA from 1 species
GACAGAGGUGCCAAGCGUUAGGCGGAAUCACUGGGCUUAAAGCGUGCGCAGGCGGUUUUGUAAGUCUGAUGUGAAAUCCCCGGGCUUAACCUGGGAAUUGCAUUGGGGACUGCAAGGCUGGAGUCUGGCAGAGGGGGGUAGAAUUCCACGUGUAGCAGUGAAAUGCGUAGAGAUGUGGAGGAACACCGAUGGCGAAGGCAGCCCCCUGGGUCAAGACUGACGCUCAUGCACGAAAGCGUGGGGAGCAAACAGG